rnacentral:rRNA from 1 species
CCUGCACGAAUGGCGUAAUGAUGGCCAGGCUGUCUCCACCCGAGACUCAGUGAAAUUGAACUCGCUGUGAAGAUGCAGUGUACCCGCGGCAAGACGGAAAGACCCCGUGAACCUUUACUAUAGCUUGACACUGAACAUUGAGCCUUGAUGUGUAGGAUAGGUGGGAGGCUUUGAAGUGUGGACGCCAGUCUGCAUGGAGCCGGCCUUGAAAUACCACCCUUUAAUGUUUGAUGUUCUAACGUUGGCCCCUGACCGGGGUUGCGGACAGUGUCUGGUGGGUAGUUUGACUGGGGCGGUCUCCUCCUAAAGAGUAACGGAGGAGCACGAAGGUUGGCUAAUCCUGGUCGGACAUCAGGAGGUUAGUGCAAUGGCAUAAGCCAGCUUGACUGCGAGCGUGACGGCGCGAGCAGGUGCGAAAGCAGGUCAUAGUGAUCCGGUGGUUCUGAAUGGAAGGGCCAUCGCUCAACGGAUAAAAGGUACUCCGGGGAUAACAGGCUGAUACCGCCCAAGAGUUCAUAUCGACGGCGGUGUUUGGCACCUCGAUGUCGGCUCAUCACAUCCUGGGGCUGAAGUAGGUCCCAAGGGUAUGGCUGUUCGCCAUUUAAAGUGGUACGCGAGCUGGGUUUAGAACGUCGUGAGACAGUUCGGUCCCUAUCUGCCGUGGGCGCUGGAGAACUGAGGGGGGCUGCUCCUAGUACGAGAGGACCGGAGUGGACGCAUCACUGGUGUUCGGGUUGUCAUGCCAAUGGCACUGCCCGGUAGCUAAAUGCGGAAGAGAUAAGUGCUGAAAGCAUCUAAGCACGAAACUUGCCCCGAGAUGAGUUCUCCCUGACUCCUUGAGAGUCCUGAAGGAACGUUGAAGACGACGACGUUGAUAGGCCGGGUGUGUAAGCGCAGCGAUGCGUUGAGCUAACCGGUACUAAUGAACCGUGAGGCUUAACCUUACAACGCCG